UCCACUGUGCUUCUGAUGACCCGGCCGCCGCCGCCGCCCUGCAACCGCUCCCCGGGACCCCUCAACGCUGACACUGAUGACCCGCGGCGGGGGCGCUGGGCGCGGGGUGCGCAGGCCACUGGCCGCGGGCUCUCGGGCCCGCUCCUGCCGCCGGCUUCUGCUGCUUCCGCGUGCCGUGGACACUGCCAGAAUUUGUCAAAGGUCCUAGGAAGAAAAGGCUCUUUCACCCCUCCCCUCAAUGAACAGAUGGCGUGUUUGGACUGUUCGCAUUCGCUCCUCAUAGGUGGGAUCCUGGAGGAAGUUAAGGGGUGCUCCGUUCCCUGGGGAUGGGACAGCAGCUCGCCUUUUUACUAAUAGCUAUAAGGGACUGUCAGACAUUUACCUGACUAGACCUUCACCUCAGAGCUCAGAAGGGGAACAGCUCCAGAACUAAAAGAGAGAGCCUCUGGCAGACCCCAAAAGACAGCAUGUGGAGUGAAGCUGGGCUUCCCUGCCCAAUCACUA
ensembl:lncRNA LINC00900 long intergenic non-protein coding RNA 900